AUGUUUGUGGUCUGCUUCAUCGCAUUUUCCUGUACAGCUGUGUAUUGCAAAUUUAGUCAUACAGCAGUUUUUGUUGUUGUCAUUUUUAAUCAACAUUUGUUCAGUGGGGCAAAACUUGGGAGAUGUUUACAGAUGUUUUUCUUUCCUUUUUUCUAUCCGACAGUCGCUGAAUUUACAGCAAGUAUGUUCAGACAUGAGGUCUCUCAUGAACACUGGCUUCUGAAAGCUCAGAACUACAGUGCGGCAGAUCAUCGUUUGAUCUGGGAGGAUGAGUGGCUGGGAUACAGGAACGAGAGUGAGAGUAUUCUGGACCAGACUAACAUGUGGAUGGUCAUUCGAGAGAAAGGUGUCUACCUGGUCUAUAUACAAGCUAACUUCAUUCUAAACCCACGGAAGAAUAAUGGUUCUACUGUAGAACUGAAAAUUUUAGUGGAUUUCAGUUAUGGUGGGCAGAAGGAGAUUUUUUCAGCCGCACAUGACACUCAGGUGGUGAGUGUCAACUCGUCUCCAGAUGCGAAGCUCAACACUUUCCUUCUGAUGAAAAUGCAGUCAACAAGCCAGUUAUCAGUGAGAGUAUUUCCAAGUCACUUGGUGAACUACCAACCCAGACCCUUCUCCACCUUUAUCACUAUCAUAAAACUGGCAGACAACUGGUAGACUGUCGCAUAUGUUGCAGAAGUGAUUGGCUUUCCCGGUGAAAACCAUAUCCAUGUCCAAUUUUUACAAUGACGGUUGUUCUUAUCUUCUUGUUAGCUUUAUAUGUGACAUUCUGAGUGGACGCGGUCUCAAGAUCAGCUGCUAGAACACCUGAGAUUUUCCAGCUAUUGUACUAGGAAAUGCUCGCUGACAUUAACAAGGAUUGCGUGGGGGGUUGUGAUACUUUCUUGGUGUUUUUUCUUCUUCCUUUCGAAAUAUGAAGAUCACAUCUCAUGAUCUUCUCAGAAGCAUGACACAUUUUCCUCUCAACAGAUAUAUGAGUUAGGUUUGUUUUGUUUCAGUUUUUUUAUGAGUCAAGAUCAAAAAGGGCAUGAUAUACUGUUUAUGAGCACCGACUUUGAAGAUUCUCAUGUAUUACUUACAUAAAAGAUGUCAUAACUGCCUGCAAACAUUUGUUUUACAAAACAGUAGUAAGCUAAUUCUCUUUAGUGAAGUGCAUCUUCCUGUAUAUAUUUAAUCACGCAGUAUUUUAAUCAUCGACAGUUGAAUGUAAACACUUCUUAAUACCCUAUCUUUGUCCAGCAUCAGUGUUUGAUAUGAAUGCUCAUUGUGUCAAAACAAAAGCUAAUGAUAUGGAGCAAUAUUUUGUGUAAAUAUGUGCUUCCUUUUUUAAGACAAGAAAUCUGCAUUUUUAUUUGUCAAAGUUCUUGAAAUGUGGUGCCAAUUUUUAUCUGUGAGCAGAUUCAUCCAGCCACAGAAGCUGGAAAGAUUAUUUUUUCAUGAAUGUCAUGGAAGUGUUUUCUGGUGGUGGUGGUGGUGAUGUUUUUUUGUUCUUUUUCCUCACAUAAAAAAAUACCACUAGUUACACUAAUGCAAUCAGUCAAGCAAGCCAUAGGAAUCUGAACAACAUCAGCUGUUUUAAUGAGACAACGGAGUGCUUUUCUUUUCCAGCGAGUGGGAAAGUUUCUUUUCCAAAACCCAGUAUUUUUUUCUGUCAGGAAAAUACCUUUUCUGAUGAUUCAUACUUUUUUUGUAUUCAGAUGACCCAAACCAGCUGGCCAAAUCUAAAGAAGAUAUUUAAAACAAGAGAGUAAAUGUACUGCUUUUUUCUUUCUUUCUUUUUGUAUGAAAUUUUUGUUCUUUCACAGCUAAGCCCUUAUACAUAUUAUAUCUAAAAAGGUAAUUGUUAAUGCUGAGUGAUUUUAAUUUACUACUUUUUUUUUUUUUACUGUUCUCAAAUAUGCAAAAAUAUAUUUAUGUCAUUUUAAUAUUUUUAUUUAAACUAAUAAUUAUAAAUAAAGCAAUCUGUUUUCCCUUUGCAUGCCUCAUUUUCAGUAAGUUAAUUUCUUUAUAUUAACCAAACAUCACACUUCAGUAGAAAGUUGUUUGUGAUAAAUGUUUAAUAAAUGGAUGGUUACAAAAAUGUCCCAACCAGACAAUGUAAUAUCACAAACAAAAUGAUUUAUGUUAAUGUUAUCUGGUCUUUAAGCUUUAUAUAUAAACAUACCUUUAAUAAAAAUGUAUAGACUAUUUAUUGAGAGAGAGAGAGAGAAAAUGGUUGAUGUCUGUCAAACUGUUAGUGUUGUGUUCCUUGCAGAACCAGAACAGCAUAACCAUAAACCAACAUUACAUUGUAGGAGAUUUUUUUGUGUGACAACCUAAUGAAAAUGUACAAAAUAUCUAAUGGCUGUAAUUAGUUUAUUUUUAUUUGUUUACAGCCAUCAACUGACAUUCCUAGAAUGUCCUGGGAACCAGAAACGUUUAGUUGGGUGAUUCUCAUUGUAACUUGUAUGCUGAACGAGGAGGCGUAUUAUACUUUAGGUCCUGAAGUAAAGCGUCUGAGAAGGGCUGAUUUAGUUGACGUAGGUCUAGAUGUAGCGGUACGUACUGCCCCCUUGUGGCAGAGAUUUAAAUCUGACGGAAAACGGUGAGUCAAGUCGGAAGUUACAGGGUUUCAGUUGAGUCAUGUUGUGAAUUUAAUCUUCAAAGUGUUGCUAAAGAGGAAAUUGUGAAUGAAAAAAUCACGUUUUUGUAACUGCCCUGACUGAGUAAAUAAAUAAACUUACCUUGCACAAAGGCACUCAGUUUCGUUUACAAAAGCAUGGAGACAAGGACCAUAAGAAUAAAGACAAUCGCUUUAUUAAAGAAUACAAAAAUCUAAACAAACAUUACCAGGUGUGGCACACACUAGUUACUGAUCAUGUCACUUUGUAGGGAAAAACUCUGAAGAGAGUUAGCAUUUUAAUGCGUCAAUGAGCACGUCUACAUGCUGAUAACUCACAAAUAUCAGCCUAUUAAAAUAACCAGUUUUCCUCAUUUACAUGCACAUCAGUAACCUGACAACGCACCUGACUUCAUUCAUAAAACAGGUUAUUUUCCUGUAGUGACUUCAAAAUAUAAUAAUUUGCUUAUCUGACUCGGAGUAUUCCAUACAUUUGUCAGUUGUGAUGUUAAAUUAAGCUUGCACCAUGUCAACUUGUAACAUUUCGGGAAACUAACGGCUUAUCAGGGUCAACUAAACGCUGUAUUUUCAAAAGUAUGUGAAAUAUUUAAAGUUUGCAGCAUAGAACCUUGAAAGAGUUUUACACACUCUGUUAUUGUGGCAACAUUUCCACACCUCGAAACGUGCCGGUGAACGAAACGAACUGUGAUUGGUUGUUUGACAUGUCGGUCAAACGGUCUUAUGGGCGGGCCUUGGCCAAUGAAAGCUGCCACGAAUUCCAGACCAUCAUUCUGAAAUUCUUUAGUGCUAAAUGGUUGAAAAGGGUUAAAUGUAUGUAAUUUGGUGUAAUUUUUGAUACACAUUUGUAACUUGAAGCACAUAUCAAGAGCAUUUCAAAAUCAGCUUUUUUCCAUCUAAGAAAUAUUGCCAGGAUUAGGCCUUUUCUUUCAUUACCUGAUGCAGAAAGGCUUGUCCAUGCACUCGUUACCUCUAGGGAUGAUUAUUGCAAUAUCCCUUUAUCUUGGCCUACCUGCAAAGUCUAUUAAGCAACUGCAACUCAGCUGCCCGUGUUCUUACACAUACUCCUUCUGCAGGGGCAUUGCACAAGAUCCCGGGCCCUAUGCAUAUGCAGUCCUGAUGGGCCCCCAUAUAAAAAAAAUUAAAUAUAUUCCAGACUUUUCAAGGGCCCUCUCUUCCUCUGGGGCCCUGGUAAUCAGUACUGGUUUUACCCCCAGUCCGACGUCCCUGCUCAUAAGCAUAUCUCUGGGGUUCUUAGGAACCUGCAUUGGCUUCCAGUCCAUGCCCAUGUUGAAUUUAAAACUCUUAUUUUAGCAUAUAAAGCUGUACAUGGAACUGCACCAUCAUAUGUGAUUUAAUUACGCUAUAUAUGCCCUCUCGAUCUCUCCGCUCCGCCAAUCUUUCCUCCUUAAACAGCCUUCUUUCAUCUAAAAAUGAUGGGUGAAAGAGCCUUCUCUGUGGCAGCCCCCAGGUUGUGGAAUUCACUUCCCUUAACUGUUAGGAAUGCCCCAACAUUUACAAGUUUUAAGAAACAGUUAAAAUCCCAUCCUUUUAAGUUGGUGUUUUAGUCUUGAUUGGUGACAAUGGAUGCACAUUGUAUUCUACCUCUUGUUGCAUUCUUAAUUUUGUUUUAUUAAUCUUUUUUUUCUUCUUUUUUGUAUUUAAAAAAAAAAUGUAUUUACUUUUGUUCUGUGCUUGUUGUAGCGCUUUGGGUAUAAGAAAAGUGCAAUAUAAAUAAAAUGUAAAAAAAAAGUCUG
rnacentral:lncRNA from 1 species